rnacentral:rRNA from 1 species
GACGAACGCUGGCGGCGUGCUUAACACAUGCAAGUCGAACGGAAAGGCCCUGCUUUUGUGGGGUGCUCGAGUGGCGAACGGGUGAGUAACACGUGAGUAACCUGCCCUUGACUUUGGGAUAACUUCAGGAAACUGGGGCUAAUACCGGAUAGGAGCUCCUGCUGCAUGGUGGGGGUUGGAAAGUUUCGGCGGUUGGGGAUGGACUCGCGGCUUAUCAGCUUGUUGGUGGGGUAGUGGCUUACCAAGGCUUUGACGAGUAGCAGGCCUGAGAGGGUGACCGGCCACAUUGAAACUGAGAUACGGCACAGACUCCUACGGGAGGCAGCAGAGGGAAAUAUUGCACGAUGGGCGGAAGCCUGAUGCAGCAACGCCGCGUGCGGGAUGACGGCCUUCGGGUUGUAAACCGCUUUCGCCUGUGACGAAGCGUGAGUGACGGUAAUGGGUAAAGAAGCACCGGCUAACUACGUG